GCGGGCCUCACGCCCCUCGGCCCGCUCGGGACCGCCCUUCAGGGCCGCGGCCUGCGGCCUGAAGGGCGGGUCCGGUGGGCAUCACCCUCGAAAGGUGGAACCUGAGAAGGCCGAAGGCGGAGGUGCCGACCGAGGGGUACCUGAUAAGAGCCGCCGGUUAGGGCCAGCUCCGCUAGGACCGCUCGGCCAUUUGCAAUGCAGCUGUAGGUGAUCGUCAUAGUAGGCGAGCUAAUGAAGGGAAAGCUCCCGCCGUAUCUAACCGCCCGCGACAGUCUCGGGGCGGUGACUGGGGCGGGGCUUCGGGAGAGGGCGAUGUCUGCGCAGGCGCGAGGGCCGGUUGAUUGGCAGCCAGGGAGGCGGGGCCAUCUCUUGCCUGGGCUGAAACUGAUGAAACCGGGCGAGGUCUCUGGAAAAACUGGCUUUGGAGAGGGCGGCACUGGAAGCCACCAGCUCCUGGGUUCCAGAUUUCAUCUUCUGCAGCCCCUAUGUUGUAGCCGGCAUCACCCGUUUCUCAUUCCAGAACACGGGGAUUUUCCCAAGCCAGAGAUUGAACCCAGGUCUCCUGCAUUGAAGGCAGAUUCGUUACCAGCUGAGCCACAAGGGAAGCCCGAGUUAUCUAUUCAGAAGAGGCUGAAAUAA
ensembl:lncRNA